rnacentral:rRNA from 1 species
GACGAACGCUGGCGGCGUGCUUAACACAUGCAAGUCGAACGAUGAAGCCUAGCUUGCUAGGUGGAUUAGUGGCGAACGGGUGAGUAAUACGUGAGUGACCUACCUUUGACUCUGGGAUAAGCCUGGGAAACUGGGUCUAAUACCGGAUACGACCAAUCUCCGCAUGGGGUGUUGGUGGAAAGCGUUAUGGAGUGGUUUUAGAUGGGCUCACGGCCUAUCAGCUUGUUGGUGAGGUAAUGGCUUACCAAGGCGACGACGGGUAGCCGGCCUGAGAGGGUGACCGGCCACACUGGGACUGAGACACGGCCCAGACUCCUACGGGAGGCAGCAGUGGGGAAUAUUGCACAAUGGGCGCAAGCCUGAUGCAGCGACGCCGCGUGAGGGAUGACGGCCUUCGGGUUGUAAACCUCUGUUAGCAUCGAAGAAGCGAAAGUGACGGAGGGCAGAG